AUGGGUCAUGGGGAAUUGAGCCUUCAACCAGGGUCCUUAGGCUUCACAUGCAAUCACUUAAUUACUGAUCUGGUUGGGUAGAUGGUUAUCUUUUUCCUCCCUCACUGCUGUGAGGCCCUCCCAAAGCUGCAUGCUGGGUCAGAGGGCCAUCCCCAACCCCCAUAAAGGACCAGUCUUCAGUCAAGGGUACACAAGUAGCUGCGUUCCCUGCUAGAACCUCCAAACAAUCUCUCAAAGGGUAAGUUGGGGGGGGGGGAGANNNNNNNNNNNNN
rnacentral:sRNA from 1 species